rnacentral:rRNA from 1 species
GUAGGUGGCAAGCGUUGUCCGGAAUUAUUGGGCGUAAAGCGCGCGCAGGCGGUCCUUCAAGUCUGAUGUGAAAGCCCACGGCUCAACCGUGGAGGGUCAUUGGAAACUGGGGGACUUGAGUACAGAAGAGGAAAGCGGAAUUCCAAGUGUAGCGGUGAAAUGCGUAGAGAUUUGGAGGAACACCAGUGGCGAAGGCGGCUUUCUGGUCUGUAACUGACGCUGAGGCGCGAAAGCGUGGGGAGCAAACAGGAUUAGAUACCCUGGUAGUCCACGCCGUAAACGAUGAGUGCUAAGUGUUAGGGGGUUUCCCGCCCCCUUAGUGCUGCAGCUAACGCAUUAAGCACUCCGCCUGGGGAGUACGGCCGCAAGGCUG